CUCGGCUUGAACGUCGUGUACUGCGGCGGCUUCUCGAUCUUGCAAUGGGGCUUCAGGGUUGCUAAACGAUCUGGUUUGAGAAACAGCUGCUCCCCCUGCACAAUUUUCAUCUUAAGGAUCUUAACCCAUUAAGGACCAAGCGGCGAGGAUCUGCGAUGAAGAGAAGAAUAUCAAGCAAAUGGAAUUUCCUUUCACAACCACAACGAUAGAAAGCAAAACGAGAGGGAAAAUUGCGAGUGAAAUGUUGCGUUCACACAACGUUGACUUUUAACAGUGGCGGAUCGAGAGGAGGGGCGAUAGGGUGAUUAACCUUCAAAAAUAAUAAAAUAUAAAUAUAUCACUAUUAUCACAUUCUGAAAAAUUUGUUAGGCGUAUAAUUAAUGUAAAUUGAAUUAUUUGAUCUGGAAUAUCAGAUAGAGAUAUUAAAACAUAAAUUACCUACGAAAUAUAAAUGAAGCAUAUUUUAAAUCUUGCGCGCAUUUCGCUCCUCCUCCAAGAAAGGCCACUGGAUCUGCCAUUGACAUUUAAUGGGUUAAGAGAUUGCGAAUUUGAUCGCAUUCAAGGUAAAUACGCGCGUAACCGUAAGCGCCUGGGUAAUAAAACUCUAUGGAUAGUAUAUGCUACGGGUGAUUACUUAGCAAUCGGAAAUAAUAAACUAUAGAAUAUAUGUAGGUGCGGUUUGUGCAAAUAUUCUGAUAUGUACGUAGAAAGAAACAGGGCCGUUUUAUUCUUCGGGUUAUGAUCGGCUCAUUGUUCUCCACGUUAUUAUUAGAUAUUUAUUGAUGCCGUUCAUUACGAUGCGCCGGUAUUGACGCGGCAAUGCUGCCAAAAUGAUGCGUUUUAUUAUGUAAAUACGCUGCUGACGAGGAAAAUAUCGUGACAAUUGGACGAAGCAAUUACCAAUUGAAAAUUGUCAUCGAAUAAAGUAGGCAUUAAUCGCAUUGUUUCAAUGAAAUUUUUCAAAACGCAUCACUUUGUUACCAGCUGCGACAUAAUUUUCAACGUGUCUAAUGAGUUUCGAAUAUCCGCAAAUACGGAAUAAAUAUUCGCGCGCAUGUUAAUAUUAUCGACAUCGAUGUAAAUAACGUCCUGAUAAACGUUAUGAAUAAAUAUUUAGACUGGUUUGGUAAUCGAAAUUUCAUAAAACGUUGGAAUUUUCGUUCGAUCAAAAUAUUUGUUCUUUCAGGUUGGAUAGGACAAAAAAAAAAAAAAAAAAGAAAAAAAUAUCGUGAUUUCUCGUCCUAUAAAACGGUCCUGGGUUCGUUUGGAUUCUUAUAUCAAACGGGGAUAUAUAUAUACUGGGAAAGUGAAGCAAACAGUGCUCGAUGUUACGCAAACGUGUCACAUACUGUACACGGUUUCAAACAGGUUGAUAUCGAUAAUUUGUAUAGGUAUGUACUUGCGUGGCAUGCUCGCGAUCGUUUCCGCGAUGGUAAAAGGGAUAUUACGGGGUCUGAUAACAAACGGACAAGCACACGCAUCUGUAUGAUUAUUUUUUAAUGACAACAUGAUACACGAAAGAGAGUACUCGAAGCUCGUUCGAGCUGCUUCUACACAGAGCGUCAUACAGCGUCGUCUCACGUAGAUUGCUUGGUUACAGGCAUGGACGAAGUUCACCGACGGCGAUGACAGUCUCGAAACGCAAGCAGCGAGGCUAAUUAAUGGUUACAAUGAUCCUGUGCUAACGAUGACAAUGACGUGUUGCGAUCAGACGAAGCGCGAAUGUGACGAGAAGAGGGAGAGCGAGAGAGAGAGAGAGAGAGGGAGGGAGAAGAAACGUCGUCUCAACGAAGAUAAGUAAAAGAUAUGUACACAGAAAUGUCAGCAUGCACGCGGAAUUUGCGAGGUCGUAACAUGCUCGGUAAUAAUCGUCGUGGAACGCAAAUCAAGGGGAAAUCCCUUCGAACGAUUAAAUUACAUCGUAAAUUUCGUUCGUUUGGUAGCGAUAGCGCCCACGUUGCGCCUUUUCACGGUUCGGUUUAAGUAAAUAGCAAUUUGCUCUCUUGUCCAUCGAUUUUCGGAGAAACCAGUUAAGCGUGUGUACAAGACGGAACUUAACGUUAUCGAACCGCGGAAUUGUUCUGAAUAAUCGUAAACUUCGAUUAGUAAUUAGCAUUACUGUAACCUAUCCCAAUCGUUCGAAGGGGUAAUUCUCAGUAAUCGCUGAUACGCUUAUUCGAAGUUGGAUUGUUUAAACGAAUAGAUCGGUAAUCGAACAUGCGAUUAUCCGUGGCUUUUAAUUACAUUGGCGGAUGCUCGCCGUCCGAUUAUUAUAAUAACAAUAAAUCUGUCGGUAAUGAGAUUUAUCGUAAGUAAUUAUCUUCAGUACCAUCUAUAUUUAUAUAUAAAUUUUCGAAGUCUCCUUGAUACCUCGAUAUACAGUGAUCAGGCAAUGAUUCAGCCGAUGGUAUACUUACGAAAUAAGUAUACGUAUACGUAUGUAUACUGUUUUUUAAAAUAAGAGUCUGUCUUUCGUUUAGAAACGACAACGCCGACAAACGCGCGCUCGUCCUGGAAAUAGUGGUGUUUGGAUGCAAGAACGAAACGAAAGCGAUGGGAAAGAUGCAAGCCGGAUGGACCAAAUCAAACUCCUAACCCAAUCUCGUUCUUCACGGUACAACAGUCGCUUCUCUUAUAACGCGCGACCAAUUUCUGGUUUCUGUCGAGUAAUACAGAGACAACAUUCAAAAUUCUAAUACUUAAUUUACCAGCUGUAUGUUUUCCACGCGAUGCCCCGCGGAAGUGGGUCAGAUUAUAUCAUCGAAAUGGCUCGAGAGAAAAGUUAAAUUAGGAUUCGUUUCCUUUUUGCCGCCGACCUGCAACAUUCGUUUCUACUUGCCGUUACUUCCAAGACACAGUCCGACCCCCGUAGCACGAACCGUAUAGAAAACGUUCGCGAACCGAUUAUUCUUUCGAUUGUUCACCGUUAAUUAACAAGCAAAGGAUCUAAUAGUCGGACUGAUUUGAGAAAGUGGCAGUCGCGUUAAAGCAAAAGUGGCUGCAACCGCUACUUACGUACACGUAUCUAAAUGACGUUACCUACGACCUACAAGGACGUUGCGGUAAUUGGCAGAGGGAUACCGCGAUGUCUAGAUGCAACCAAAUGCAUGCGUAAUGUACCCUACUGGCCGCAUAAAUCACUCAAACGACUAUCUCGAUCGGGGUAGGGACAGCGGCUAGUGGUCAAUACUUGUGCAGGUCUAUAUUGUCAACGUGGCGUUAUUGCGAUACGAGACGGAAAAUGCGACAUACUUUCGACGUGUAUGUGUAUAUACAAGUUCACAGAACGAUGGUCGGUAAUUGCAUAAUAUAUGUAUCAUUUUUGUAAAGCGUUACACCAUGUCUCGUGCAUAGCGGAUGCAUGCGUAUCCUUUGAGAUCGUUCCUUUUUCGUUCAUACGUCGACGGAAUUUGAACGAGCGAACUCCCGAUAGAAUGGUAUCUAACGAGAAAACACAACGCGAUCGACGAUAUCGUAAAAAUAGUUGGAAUGAAAUCAUCGCGGUCUGAUACCAGCUACUUUUAUUCGCUGGCGUUAUGGGACACGAGAGUCGAGCAUGUGUAUUUGUAAUACUCUCGCCGUAAAUGUUCUCGAUAUAUCAUUUUAGCGUGAUGCUUUCGACUAUCGUGAGAUCGUUCUAAGGUAAGCGCGAACACGAGAAAGGACGACGAAGUCUGCGAAAUGCUCAGUCAAGACCAAGACGUACAGCGAUGUAAAAAUUUCUUGGUUAGCCGUUAGACCGAUGGAUUCUCUCGUGCCAGACGAAAUUGUACGUCUUGCGGGCCUUCAAGUCAUGCGUAAAUAUCUGAAAGGUGUAACGGAUGCUAAACUCUCGAAUAUGAAACUCUUGUGUUACAACCAACGAUAAAACGCUGAAAGAUCUUUGAUCUUUCUCGAAGCUUUAAACUCUUGACAAAAAAAAAAAAAAGAAAAAGGAAAAAAAGAA